UGCAAGUCGAGCGGCAGCGGAAAGUAGCUUGCUACUUUGCCGGCGAGCGGCGGACGGGUGAGUAAUGUCUGGGAAACUGCCUGAUGGAGGGGGAUAACUACUGGAAACGGUAGCUAAUACCGCAUAACGUCGCAAGACCAAAGAGGGGGACCUUCGGGCCUCUUGCCAUCAGAUGUGCCCAGAUGGGAUUAGCUAGUAGGUGGGGUAACGGCUCACCUAGGCGACGAUCCCUAGCUGGUCUGAGAGGAUGACCAGCCACACUGGAACUGAGACACGGUCCAGACUCCUACGGGAGGCAGCAGUGGGGAAUAUUGCACAAUGGGCGCAAGCCUGAUGCAGCCAUGCCGCGUGUAUGAAGAAGGCCUUCGGGUUGUAAAGUACUUUCAGCGGGGAGGAAGGCGAUAAGGUUAAUAACCUUGUCGAUUGACGUUACCCGCAGAAGAAGCACCGGCUAACUCCGUGCCAGCAGCCGCGGUAAUACGGAGGGUGCAAGCGUUAAUCGGAAUUACUGGGCGUAAAGCGCACGCAGGCGGUCUGUCA
rnacentral:rRNA from 1 species